UACAGAGGGGGCAAGCGUUAUUCGGAAUUAUUGGGCGUAAAGGGCGCGUAGGCGGCUUUGCAAGUGACGGGUGAAAUCCCUCGGCUUAACCGAGGAACUGCCUGUCAGACUGCAUGGCUCGAGACCAGGAGAGGUGAGUGGAAUUCCCAGUGUAGCGGUGAAAUGCGCAGAUAUCAGGAGGAACACCAAUUGCGAAGGCAGCUCGCUGGGACGUUACUGACGCUGAGACGCGAAAGCGUGGGGAGCAAACAGG
rnacentral:rRNA from 1 species